rnacentral:tRNA from 1 species
AAAGCUUUAGCUUAAUUAAAGCGUCUGUUUUGCAUGCAGAAAAUGUGGGUUAAAUCCCCGUAAGUUUUA